UACGAAGGGGGCUAGCGUUGCUCGGAAUCACUGGGCGUAAAGGGCGCGUAGGCGGCCAUUCAAGUCAGGGGUGAAAGCCUGUGGCUCAACCACAGAAUUGCCUUUGAUACUGUUUGGCUAGAGACCGGAAGAGGUAAGUGGAACUGCGAGUGUAGAGGUGAAAUUCGUAGAUAUUCGCAAGAACACCAGUGGCGAAGGCGGACUCACUGGCCCGACUACUGACGCUGAGGUGCGAAAAGCGUGGGGGAGCAAACAGG
rnacentral:rRNA from 1 species